rnacentral:rRNA from 1 species
AGUGAACGCUGGCGGCGUGCUUAACACAUGCAAGUCGAACGAGAACGGGUUAUAGCUUGCUAUAAUUGUCAGCUAAGCGGCGCACGGGUGAGUAAUGUAUAGGUAAUAUGCCUCUUACUAAGGGAUAACAAAUGGAAACGUUUGCUAAUACCUUAUACUCCUUAUUAACAUAAGUUAAUAAGGGAAAGAUUUAUUGGUAAGAGAUUAGCCUGUAUUGUAUCAGUUAGUUGGUGGGGUAAUGGCUUACCAAGACUAUGACACAUAACUGGCUUGAGAGGAUGAUCAGUCACACUGGAACUGAGACACGGUCCAGACUCCUACGGGAGGCAGCAGUGGGGAAUAUUGCACAAUGGACGAAAGUCUGAUGCAGCAACGCCGCGUGGAGGAUGACACAUUUCGGUGCGUAAACUCCUUUUAUAUGAGAAGAUAAUGACGGUAUUAUAUGAAUAAGCACCGGCUAACUCCGUGCCAGCAGCCGCAGUAACAC